rnacentral:rRNA from 1 species
UACGAAGGGUGCAAGCGUUACUCGGAAUUACUGGGCGUAAAGCGUGCGUAGGUGGUUUGUUAAGUCUGUUGUGAAAGCCCCGGGCUCAACCUGGGAAUGGCAAUGGAUACGUGCAGGCUAGAGUGCGGUAGAGGGUAGUGGAAUUCCCGGUGUAGCGGUGAAAUGCGUAGAGAUCGGGAGGAACACCAGUGGCGAAGGCGGCUACCUGGACCAGCACUGACACUGAGGCACGAAAGCGUGGGGAGCAAACAGG